rnacentral:rRNA from 1 species
UACGAAGGGGGCUAGCGUUGUUCGGAAUUACUGGGCGUAAAGCGCACGUAGGCGGAUUUGUAAGUCAGGGGUGAAAUCCCGGGGCUCAACCUCGGAACUGCCUUUGAUACUGCAAGUCUUGAGUCCGAUAGAGGUGAGUGGAAUUCCUAGCGUAGAGGUGAAAUUCGUAGAUAUUAGGAAGAACACCAGUGGCGAAGGCGGCUCACUGGAUCGGUACUGACGCUGAGGUGCGAAAGCGUGGGGAGCAAACAGG